UACGUAGGGGGCAAGCGUUGUCCGGAUUUAUUGGGCGUAAAGAGCGUGUAGGCGGCCAGACAGGUCCGUUGUGAAAACUCGAGGCUCAACCUCGAGAUGUCGAUGGAAACCGUCUGGCUAGAGUCCGGAAGAGGAGUGUGGAAUUCCUGGUGUAGCGGUGAAAUGCGCAGAUAUCAGGAAGAACACCUAUGGCGAAGACAGCACUCUGGGACGGUACUGACGCUGAGACGCGAAAGCGUGGGGAGCGAACAGG
rnacentral:rRNA from 1 species